UUUUUUAUGAAUUUGUUAAUAAUUUAGCUAAGUUCAUGAAUUUACUGACAAGCCUUUCUUUUAUUCUCUUCUCUCCUUUCUUAGGACUCCAGUUGAAUAUAUAGGAUAUUUUCAUUCUAUCUGCCAUGUGUUAUAUGCCUGAUUCUAUGAAUUCAUCUUUUAUUUCUGUAUUCAUUUUAUAUUCUACAUUUUGCACCUGCCAAUUCCACUGUCUUGAGAGUUUGACUGUCUUCCUAUGGUGUCAAGAUGGCUCCUGGAAGCUCCACACUUAGCUGGUCAUUAAAGAUUAUGAUGUCACAGAAAGAUAGAAACCAUCUUGUCUUCAACAGCCUCAUCAACUCCUGGGAAGAUUGCUUAGGCUUGAAAAAUGUAAGAUCCAAGAGGUUAUUAUUUCCUAAUUACAUCAAGAAGAAACCUAGGCCUGAGUAGGCUCUUUGGGGGUUUCAAAGACAUAGCAGGACCCCGUACCAAGAGGAGAGGCUCCCCCCUGAUGUGAUGGUGCAGGCCCAACCCGUGUGUACCUGGAGGAUUGCCACCCCCAUCUGCCUGCCCCUGUACUGGAAGCUGAUUGUCGCUCCCCACCUGCACUCUGGGACACUGCUUUGUGCUGGCCAGUUUUCUAGACCAGCUUUAGCCUGGACAAAUGGGGGAAUUUUCUUUUUUUCCUAUCUGGUGGGCUAAGUUAUACUUUCCCUAAUAAGGUAUGAACUUCAGCCUUGAGGAGAGAGUUUCACUCUGAGUUUGUCUUUCCUUGGAUACUCUCUCUCAUUCCUGGAGUAUCACACAGCAUUUUCAUAUCUGUUAUGAUUAUUCUUUUAUCAUAGAUUGAUGAUUCUUUAUAUUGAGCUUUGGUUGUUUAACUCACCAUGUGGUUUCUGUUUCGACCUACAUUAGUCAUUAGUCAGUGCAAAUUAAAACCACAAAGAGAUACAAUUAUAUAUAUACUUGAAUGGCUAAUCUGUUUUUUAAAAAAGUAUGGACAAUACCAAAUAUUGGUAAAAAUGUAGGGCACCUGGAAUUCUCAUUCACUAUUGGUGGGAAUAUGAAAUAUUAUUAGCACUUUGGGGAAAAAAAGCCUCAAAGAUUCUUAUAAAACUAAGAUACACUUAUUCUAAUAUUCAUCAGUUCUACUCCAAGAGAAAUCAAGACAUAUAUCCACAGAAAGGCUUGUAUAGGAAUGUUCUGAGAUAUUGUACUGAUAAUAGCCAAAGCUGAAAACAAAUGCCCAUCAAUAGGCACAUGGGUAAAUAGACUAUGGUGUAGUAAUUUGAUGGAGUACUACUUAGUGAUAAAAGAACAGAAAACACUGCUUUUGAGCAACAUUGAUGAAUCUCAAAAUCAUACUGAGUGAAAGAAGCCUUAAACAAAAUUUUCAUAUUAUAUGACUCUAUGAGAUUCUAGACCAAGUAAACUAAGGUUUGGCAGGGGGAAAACAGUGGUUGACUCUGUGAAGAAUAGAGAUUAAUUGGGAAGAGGCUUGCAAGAAUGUUCUGGAGUGAUGAAAGUAUUAUUAUACCUCUUGAUAUUCUCUGUGCAAAUACUAAGAAUGAAUCUUUAAAAAACAUGAAUUCAGUUUAUAUAGAUUAUGCAUUUGCCAAAACUUAUUGAAUGGUUCUGUUAAGAUUUGUGCAUUUCAUAGCAGUGCAUUUAACCUAAAAAUGUUUAAAGAAGCAAUGGUGUAAUGCUACAGUGCUUAGAUGAGAAGUAUACUGAUGCCUGCAACCUAUUUUGAAAUUCAUUCAAAAUACAGGUAGAUUGGAUUCCUGGGUGGCGCAGCGGUUUGGCGCCUGCCUUUGGCCCAGGGCGCGAUCCUGGAGACCUGGGAUCGAGUCCCACGUCGGGCUCCCGGUGCAUGGAGCCUGCUUCUCCCUCUGCCUGUGUCUCUGCCCCCUCUCUCUCUUUCUGUGUGACUAUCAUAAAUAAAUAAAAAUUUAAAAAAAAAUACA
rnacentral:lncRNA from 1 species